UACAAAAUAUCUUCUCAAAAUAUCUUUACAAAAUAUCUAAGGGAAAUAUCUAAUCCACCAAUCCUUAUCCCGACCCUCGACAACUCUUCUCUUCACUCCCAUCUUCUUCAUUUUCUUUUCUCCCCAGCAAACCUUCCUUUCUUCCUUCCCUCCCAUAGCUGCACCAUUUCCUUCUUCUUUUCUUCAUGAAACACUAACAUCAUCACCGUUUCUUCUCCUUUUUCUCCAUUAACUAAACAGCACCACGAGCCUCCCUUGCUGCCAAGAAGCAACACCUUCGUGUGCCUUCCUCUGUUUCCUCUAUUUCGAACAGCCAGGGCCACCUUUCCUUCCACCGAGAGCAACCGCCACCACCUUGUGUCUCCAUCAAUGCGAGAACCAGCCUCAUUCUUCUUCUUCAUGAUGACAGCACCCAUACAACCUUGAUCUCUUCACGUUGCAGCACCACAAAUCACCAACAUCAUCAUGCUUUCCUCUCCCUCUUGCAGCCGCUGAUCACACCAUCACCAUCACCAUGGUUUUCUCCUUAUAUGGCCAGCAAAGAAUCACCACCGCUAGCCAUAGCACCACCAACACCAUGCCAUGCUCCAAUUUCUUCUUCACCAAGAUCACCAUGUUUGAGACGUGCAAGCUUGGGACUGGAGGAAAUUUGAACGUUUGAGGAAAGGCGAAGGAGAAAGAAAUAUUGGCUAAGGCCCUAACAGGUGUGUCUCUGAGGAGCUGCUGAUUGCUGCAAGAAGGUGAUUCGACUGAUUGACGAUGAGACUUCCUUGGAGUGAGUGAACCAACCGAAGACUUGUGGAAGUAAUAGUUAGAUGUAAGGCUAGAGUCUUGGGUAGAGAAGCUUACCGUCAUUGGUUGAAGCU